AGUCGAGCGGUAGCACAGAGAGCUUGCUCUCGGGUGACGAGCGGCGGACGGGUGAGUAAUGUCUGGGAAACUGCCUGAUGGAGGGGGAUAACUACUGGAAACGGUAGCUAAUACCGCAUAACGUCGCAAGACCAAAGUGGGGGACCUUCGGGCCUCAUGCCAUCAGAUGUGCCCAGAUGGGAUUAGCUGGUAGGUGGGGUAACGGCUCACCUAGGCGACGAUCCCUAGCUGGUCUGAGAGGAUGACCAGCCACACUGGAACUGAGACACGGUCCAGACUCCUACGGGAGGCAGCAGUGGGGAAUAUUGCACAAUGGGCGCAAGCCUGAUGCAGCCAUGCCGCGUGUGUGAAGAAGGCCUUCGGGUUGUAAAGCACUUUCAGCGGGGAGGAAGGCGGUGAGGUUAAUAACCUCACCGAUUGACGUUACCCGCAGAAGAAGCACCGGCUAACUCCGUGCCAGCAGCCGCGGUAAUACGGAGGGUGCAAGCGUUAAUCGGAAUUACUGGGCGUAAAGCGCACGCAGGCGGUCUGUCAAGUCGGAUGUGAAAUCCCCGGGCUCAACCUGGGAACUGCAUUCGAAACUGGCAGGCUAGAGUCUUGUAGAGGGGGGUAGAAUUCCAGGUGUAGCGGUGAAAUGCGUAGAGAUCUGGAGGAAUACCGGUGGCGAAGGCGGCCCCCUGGACAAAGACUGACGCUCAGGUGCGAAAGCGUGGGGAGCAAACAGGAUUAGAUACCCUGGUAGUCCACGCUGUAAACGAUGUCGAUUUGGAGGUUGUGCCCUUGAGGCGUGGCUUCCGGAGCUAACGCGUUAAAUCGACCGCCUGGGGAGUACGGCCGCAAGGUUAAAACUCAAAUGAAUUGACGGGGGCCCGCACAAGCGGUGGAGCAUGUGGUUUAAUUCGAUGCAACGCGAAGAACCUUACCUGGUCUUGACAUCCACAGAACUUUCCAGAGAUGGAUUGGUGCCUUCGGGAACUGUGAGACAGGUGCUGCAUGGCUGUCGUCAGCUCGUGUUGUGAAAUGUUGGGUUAAGUCCCGCAACGAGCGCAACCCUUAUCCUUUGUUGCCAGCGGUCCGGCCGGGAACUCAAAGGAGACUGCCAGUGAUAAACUGGAGGAAGGUGGGGAUGACGUCAAGUCAUCAUGGCCCUUACGACCAGGGCUACACACGUGCUACAAUGGCAUAUACAAAGAGAAGCGACCUCGCGAGAGCAAGCGGACCUCAUAAAGUAUGUCGUAGUCCGGAUUGGAGUCUGCAACUCGACUCCAUGAAGUCGGAAUCGCUAGUAAUCGUAGAUCAGAAUGCUACGGUGAAUACGUUCCCGGGCCUUGUACACACCGCCCGUCACACCAUGGGAGUGGGUUGCAAAAGAAGUAGGUAGCUUAACCUCGGAGGGCGCU
rnacentral:rRNA from 1 species